rnacentral:rRNA from 1 species
GGGUUGUGAGGUUAAGCGACUAAGCGUACACGGUGGAUGCCCUGGCAGUCAGAGGCGAUGAAGGACGUGCUAAUCUGCGAUAAGCGUCGGUAAGGUGAUAUGAACCGUUAUAACCGGCGAUUUCCGAAUGGGGAAACCCAGUGUGUUUCGACACACUAUCAUUAACUGAAUCCAUAGGUUAAUGAGGCGAACCGGGGGAACUGAAACAUCUAAGUACCCCGAGGAAAAGAAAUCAACCGAGAUUCCCCCAGUAGCGGCGAGCGAACGGGGAGCAGCCCAGAGCCUGAAUCAGUGUGUGUGUUAGUGGAAGCGUCUGGAAAGGCGCGCGAUACAGGGUGACAGCCCCGUACACAAAAAUGCACAUGCUGUGAGCUCGAUGAGUAGGGCGGGACACGUGGUAUCCUGUCUGAAUAUGGGGGGACCAUCCUCCAAGGCUAAAUACUCCUGACUGACCGAUAGUGAACCAGUACCGUGAGGGAAAGGCGAAAAGAACCCCGGCGAGGGGAGUGAAAAAGAACCUGAAACCGUGUACGUACAAGCAGUGGGAGCACAGAGCAAUCUGUGUGACUGCGUACCUUUUGUAUAAUGGGUCAGCGACUUAUAUUCUGUAGCAAGGUUAACCGAAUAGGGGAGCCGAAGGGAAACCGAGUCUUAACUGGGCGUUAAGUUGCAGGGUAUAGACCCGAAACCCGGUGAUCUAGCCAUGGGCAGGUUGAAGGUUGGGUAACACUAACUGGAGGACCGAACCGACUAAUGUUGAAAAAUUAGCGGAUGACUUGUGGCUGGGGGUGAAAGGCCAAUCAAACCGGGAGAUAGCUGGUUCUCCCCGAAAGCUAUUUAGGUAGCGCCUCGUGAAUUCAUCUCCGGGGGUAGAGCACUGUUUCGGCAAGGGGGUCAUCCCGACUUACCAACCCGAUGCAAACUGCGAAUACCGGAGAAUGUUAUCACGGGAGACACACGGCGGGUGCUAACGUCCGUCGUGAAGAGGGAAACAACCCAGACCGCCAGCUAAGGUCCCAAAGUCAUGGUUAAGUGGGAAACGAUGUGGGAAGGCCCAGACAGCCAGGAUGUUGGCUUAGAAGCAGCCAUCAUUUAAAGAAAGCGUAAUAGCUCACUGGUCGAGUCGGCCUGCGCGGAAGAUGUAACGGGGCUAAACCAUGCACCGAAGCUGCGGCAGCGACGCUUAUGCGUUGUUGGGUAGGGGAGCGUUCUGUAAGCCUGCGAAGGUGUGCUGUGAGGCAUGCUGGAGGUAUCAGAAGUGCGAAUGCUGACAUAAGUAACGAUAAAGCGGGUGAAAAGCCCGCUCGCCGGAAGACCAAGGGUUCCUGUCCAACGUUAAUCGGGGCAGGGUGAGUCGACCCCUAAGGCGAGGCCGAAAGGCGUAGUCGAUGGGAAACAGGUUAAUAUUCCUGUACUUGGUGUUACUGCGAAGGGGGGACGGAGAAGGCUAUGUUGGCCGGGCGACGGUUGUCCCGGUUUAAGCGUGUAGGCUGGUUUUCCAGGCAAAUCCGGAAAAUCAAGGCUGAGGCGUGAUGACGAGGCACUACGGUGCUGAAGCAACAAAUGCCCUGCUUCCAGGAAAAGCCUCUAAGCAUCAGGUAACAUCAAAUCGUACCCCAAACCGACACAGGUGGUCAGGUAGAGAAUACCAAGGCGCUUGAGAGAACUCGGGUGAAGGAACUAGGCAAAAUGGUGCCGUAACUUCGGGAGAAGGCACGCUGAUAUGUAGGUGAAGUCCCUCGCGGAUGGAGCUGAAAUCAGUCGAAGAUACCAGCUGGCUGCAACUGUUUAUUAAAAACACAGCACUGUGCAAACACGAAAGUGGACGUAUACGGUGUGACGCCUGCCCGGUGCCGGAAGGUUAAUUGAUGGGGUUAGCGCAAGCGAAGCUCUUGAUCGAAGCCCCGGUAAACGGCGGCCGUAACUAUAACGGUCCUAAGGUAGCGAAAUUCCUUGUCGGGUAAGUUCCGACCUGCACGAAUGGCGUAAUGAUGGCCAGGCUGUCUCCACCCGAGACUCAGUGAAAUUGAACUCGCUGUGAAGAUGCAGUGUACCCGCGGCAAGACGGAAAGACCCCGUGAACCUUUACUAUAGCUUGACACUGAACAUUGAGCCUUGAUGUGUAGGAUAGGUGGGAGGCUUUGAAGUGUGGACGCCAGUCUGCAUGGAGCCGACCUUGAAAUACCACCCUUUAAUGUUUGAUGUUCUAACGUUGACCCGUGAUCCGGGUUGCGGACAGUGUCUGGUGGGUAGUUUGACUGGGGCGGUCUCCUCCUAAAGAGUAACGGAGGAGCACGAAGGUUGGCUAAUCCUGGUCGGACAUCAGGAGGUUAGUGCAAUGGCAUAAGCCAGCUUGACUGCGAGCGUGACGGCGCGAGCAGGUGCGAAAGCAGGUCAUAGUGAUCCGGUGGUUCUGAAUGGAAGGGCCAUCGCUCAACGGAUAAAAGGUACUCCGGGGAUAACAGGCUGAUACCGCCCAAGAGUUCAUAUCGACGGCGGUGUUUGGCACCUCGAUGUCGGCUCAUCACAUCCUGGGGCUGAAGUAGGUCCCAAGGGUAUGGCUGUUCGCCAUUUAAAGUGGUACGCGAGCUGGGUUUAGAACGUCGUGAGACAGUUCGGUCCCUAUCUGCCGUGGGCGCUGGAGAACUGAGGGGGGCUGCUCCUAGUACGAGAGGACCGGAGUGGACGCAUCACUGGUGUUCGGGUUGUCAUGCCAAUGGCACUGCCCGGUAGCUAAAUGCGGAAGAGAUAAGUGCUGAAAGCAUCUAAGCACGAAACUUGCCCCGAGAUGAGUUCUCCCUGACUCCUUGAGAGUCCUGAAGGAACGUUGAAGACGACGACGUUGAUAGGCCGGGUGUGUAAGCGCAGCGAUGCGUUGAGCUAACCGGUACUAAUGAACCGUGAGGCUUAACCUUACAACGCCGAAGCUGUU